rnacentral:rRNA from 1 species
CCUACGGGAGACAGCAGUGGGGAAUAUUGCGCAAUGGGCGAAAGCCUGACGCAGCGACGCCGCGUGAGGGAUGAAGGUCUUCGGAUCGUAAACCUCUGUCAGCAGGGAAGAACGGUCACUGUGCUAAUCAGCAGUGAAUUGACGGUACCUGCAAAGGAAGCACCGGCUAACUCCGUGCCAGCAGCCGCGGUAAUACGGAGGGUGCGAGCGUUAAUCGGAAUUACUGGGCGUAAAGCGCUCGUAGGCGGUAUGUCAAGUCAAGGGUGAAAUCCCCGCGCUCAACGUGGGAACUGCCUUUGAAACUGGCAAACUGGAGUGUGUGAGAGGAUAGUGGAAUUCCAGGUGUAGGGGUGAAAUGCGUAGAUAUCUGGAGGAACAUCAGUGGCGAAGGCGACUAUCUGGCACAUAACUGACGCUGAGGAGCGAAAGCGUGGGUAGCAAACAGGAUUAGAUACCCGAGUAGUC